UGAAUACGAGAUGCUACGGCGUCGAAGCAGUCUAUGUCAUACUUCCAAGAAAAGCUUGCACUGUCAUAAACAAAUAAUGCCUGUACUAUAACCGACACAGGUGGGUAGGUAGAGUAUACUAAGGGGCGCGAGAUAACUCUCUCUAAGGAACUCGGCAAAAUGACUCCGUAACUUCGGGAGAAGGAGUGCCUUAUUUAUAAGGUUGCAAUAACAAGAUCCAAGCAACUGUUUACCAAAAACACAGGUCUCCGCUAAGUCGUAAGACGAUGUAUGGGGGCUGACGCCUGCCCAGUGCCAGAAGGUUAAAGAAGUUGGUUAGCAUCCGCGAAGCUGAUAACUGAAGCCCUGGUGAACGGCGGCCGUAACAAUAACGGUCCUAAGGUAGCGAAAUUCCUUGUCGGGUAAGUUCCGACCCGCACGAAAGGCGUAAUGAUUUGGAUACUGUCUCGGAGAGGGGCUCGGUGAAAUAGACUUGUCUGUGAAGAUGCGGACUACCUGCACCAGGACAGAAAGACCCUAUGAAGCUUUACUGUAACCUGAAAUUGAAAUUGGACUUUACUUGCGCAGUAUAGGUGGGAGGCGUUGAGAAUAUUCUUGCGGGAUUAUUGGAGCCAUCAGUGAGAUACCACUCUUGUAAUGUUAGAUUUCUAACUUUGUAUCAUUAUCUGGUCAAAGAACAGUUUCAGGCGGGCAGUUUGACUGGGGCGGUCGCCUCCUAAACGGUAACGGAGGCGCACAAAGGUUUCCUCUGAACGGGUAGAAAUCGUAUCUAGAGUGUAAAGGCAUAAGGAAGCUUGACUAUGAGACCUACAAGUCGAGCAGGGACGAAAGUCGGUCUUAGUGAUCUGACGGUGCUGAGUGGAAAGGCCGUCACUCAACGGAUAAAAGUUACUCUAAGGAUAACAGGCUGAUCUCCCCCAAGAGUUCACAUCGACGGGGAGGUUUGGCACCUCGAUGUCGGCUCAUCGCAUCCUGGGGCGGUAGUACGUCCCAAGGGUUGGGCUGUUCGCCCAUGAAAGCGGUACGCGAGCUGGGUUCAGAACGUCGUGAGACAGUUCGGUCCAUAUCCGGUGUAGGCGUUAGAAUAUUGAGAGGAGCCUCCUUUAGUACGAGAGGACCGAGAAGGACAUACCUCUGGUGUACCAGUUAUCGUGCCAACGGUAAACGCUGGGUAGCUAUGUGUGGAGUGGAUAACCGCUGAAAGCAUCUAAGUGGGAAGCCCACCUCAAGAUAAGUAUUCUCA
rnacentral:rRNA from 1 species